rnacentral:rRNA from 1 species
CCUACGGGUGGCAGCAGUGGGGAAUAUUGGACAAUGGGCGAAAGCCUGAUCCAGCCAUGCCGCGUGUGUGAAGAAGGCCUUCGGGUUGUAAAGCACUUUCAGUGGGGAAGAAAGCCUUGGGGCUAAUACCCUCGAGGAAGGACAUCACCCACAGAAGAAGCACCGGCUAACUCCGUGCCAGCAGCCGCAGUAAUACGGAGGGUGCGAGCGUUAAUCGGAAUUACUGGGCGUAAAGCGCGCGUAGGCGGUCUGAUAAGCCGGUUGUGAAAGCCCCGGGCUCAACCUGGGAACGGCAUCCGGAACUGUCAGGCUAGAGUGCAGGAGAGGAAGGUAGAAUUCCCGGUGUAGCGGUGAAAUGCGUAGAGAUCGGGAGGAAUACCAGUGGCGAAGGCGGCCUUCUGGACUGACACUGACGCUGAGGUGCGAAAGCGUGGGUAGCAAACAGGAUUAGAUACCCGGGUAGUC